rnacentral:rRNA from 2 species
CAUGGGAAUCGAUUUAGCCAUGCUAGUUGCACGAGUUCAGACUCGUAGCAGAUAGCUCAGUAACACGUGGCCAAACUACCCUAUGGAUCCGAAUAACCUCGGGAAACUGAGGCUAAUUCGGAAUACGAUUCACUGCCUGGAGUGGUAUGAAUCCGAAACGCUCCGGCGCCAUAGGAUGUGGCUGCGGCCGAUUAGGUAGACGGUGGGGUAACGGCCCACCGUGCCCAUAAUCGGUACGGGUUGUGAGAGCAAGAGCCCGGAGACGGUAUCUGAGACAAGAUACCGGGCCCUACGGGGCGCAGCAGGCGCGAAACCUUUACACUGCACGAAAGUGCGAUAAGGGGACUCCAAGUGCGAGGGCAUAUAGUCCUCGCUUUUUGCGACCGUAAGGUGGUCGCGGAAUAAGUGCUGGGCAAGACCGGUGCCAGCCGCCGCGGUAAUACCGGCAGCACGAGUGAUGACCGCUAUUAUUGGGCCUAAAGCGUCCGUAGCUGGCCGUGCAAGUCCAUCGGGAAAUCCGCGCGCUUAACGCGCGGGCGUCCGGUGGAAACUGCAUGGCUUGGGACCGGAAGACCAGAGGGGUACGUCCGGGGUAGGAGU